rnacentral:lncRNA from 1 species
GGUUUCCUUAUUCUCCAGAGCCAGGGACCUUCAACAUUUGGCUUCAGAAAUGCUGCUAAAUCCUGAACAAAUAAACAUGGAUAUGCAAGAGAGAGAAAGAGCACAAGUAGCGCAGCAGGAAGAGAGAGAGACGGAAGCAGGCUCCCUGCUGAGCAGAGAGCCCAAUGCAGGGCUCGAUCCCAGGACCCUGAGAUCAUCACCCGAGCCAAAGGCAGAGGCUUAACCCCAUGAGCCACCCAGGCGCCCUGGCUGAUUGAAUUUAAAUG